rnacentral:rRNA from 1 species
UACGUAGGGUGCAAGCGUUAAUCGGAAUUACUGGGCGUAAAGGGCGCGUAGGCGGAUGGCACAGUCAGAUGUGAAAUUCCCGGGCUUAACCUGGGGGGCUGCAUUUGAUACGUGUUGUCUUGAGUUCGGAAGAGGGUCGUGGAAUUCCCAGUGUAGAGGUGAAAUUCGUAGAUAUUGGGAAGAACACCGGUGGCGAAGGCGGCGACCUGGUCCGACACUGACGCUGAGGCGCGAAAGCGUGGGGAGCAAACAGG